rnacentral:ncRNA from 1 species
AUUGGUAGAGGCGCGGUAUUUAAGAGUGGUCGGCGUUCAGUCGCGGGCAAGCGAGCCGUCUUAAAGGAAAUAUCGCCGAAAUGCGCGGGGCAUUGCCUUGACCCGUGUGUUGGGACGCAGCAGAAUAUGUUGCGUACUGUCACUUUUGUGGAGCGCUAUCCGU